UCAAAAAUGAAUUGUUUGCUGUUCACUCUGACUUUUCUUGUGCUGGUGGUCGCCCCUGGUUGUGCCUUGAAAUGCUAUGUGUGUUCUGGCACUGAAGAUACUUGCAGCAAGAGCAAACUGGAACGUAACCGGGCCAUUUAUCUCAAGGAAUGUUCUUCGGCCUUUGACAGGUGCGGUAGGAGCUGGUCUAAGAAAGGUGACAAUAACCAUGUGGAGAACGACUGCGCCAACGAAUCCAUGUGUAAUUAUUCAAAAGAGCUUUGUGACCAUCUUAAAGAUAAUAUCAAGGACUACGAGUGCGGGGUUGGUUGCUGUACUAGCUAUGCCUGUAACGCAGGCUCACCUGUGACCUUUAGCUUCCUCCUAUUGACCGUCUCCCUUGUUCUGGGCCUGGCACUAAUGAAGUAGACGCAGACCAAGUAAAGAUGCUGACGUGUUCCCUGCACUGAUUAAUAGUAGUUUUAUUGGGCAGGAUGGAGAGUCAUUAUUACUCGCACACAAAAAAGUAGAUCUGUAGAUAUAAGUGACUUUACAUUUGUAAGCCUGUUAGUUUGAAUAAACAUUUUAAAAUGAUCC
rnacentral:lncRNA from 1 species